CUUUGUUCUUCAUUGAUGAACAAAAUCUUCGAUUUAUAUGAAAUCCAAAGUAUUGCAUGUCUCAUUUUAUGUAUACAAUUCUAUAUUUUCUUGGUUAAUCAAUGGCACCUCUUUAAGGGCCACGAAGAUGUAGAUCGGCCAUAAAAUUUAGAUGUCAAACCUUUCAAACAACUCAUAAUAAACUCGAAAGGAGAAAAGGGAAUUGAGUUAGCGCAUGUCUACGAUGAUAAAGCGUGGUCUAAAACCAAUAGUCUAUUGUGUGAAAUAUCGAGUCUCUGUGGAAAAGAUCUUCAAGUACUACACCGAUCCUCUUAUUUGAGAGAUGUGCUUGAAAGUUAAUUUGAGCAUAUCAGGG